rnacentral:rRNA from 1 species
GAAUAUUGCACAAUGGGCGCAAGCCUGAUGCAGCGACGCCGCGUGAGGGACGAAGGCCUUCGGGUUGUAAACCUCUUUCGGCAGGGACGAAGCGAAAGUGACUGUACCUGAAGAAGAAGCGCCGGCCAACUACGUGCCAGCAGCCGCGGUAAGACGUAGGGCGCAAGCGUUGUCCGGAUUUAUUGGGCGUAAAGAGCUCGUAGGCGGCUUGUCGCGUCGACUGUGAAAACCCACGGCUCAACCGCGGGACUGCAGUCGAUACGGGCAGGCUAGAGUUCGGUAGGGGAGACUGGAAUUCCUGGUGUAGCGGUGAAAUGCGCAGAUAUCAGGAGGAACACCGGUGGCGAAGGCGGGUCUCUGGGCCGAAACUGACGCUGAGGAGCGAAAGCGUGGGGAGCGAACAG